rnacentral:lncRNA from 1 species
CUUUCCCUACUUUUCCCUGGAUAGAUCACACUUUUCCCUGUGGAGGGUGCCGUUAACUUAAAACUCAUAUUCACCAUGUCAAUUUCCUAAGCUUUUCACAGGGGUACCAGCCUCCCUUUUUUGUCCACACAGUGAGGACACUUCCUCUUCUAGGCUCCUCCAGGCCCCAGCCCAGCACCCACACCCCAGAGCAACCCCCCGACUGUGCUUUCUCCCUGAGUCUCCGAGUGCACGAGGCAACUGUGAGAGGGCUGUGGGAAAGUGCAUGCUCAAGACCUCUGUGAGCAUAAUUGAUGCGAUUGCCC